UCAGAAUUCUUUAAUAACACUUGCAGUUUAAGAAAUAGUGUAGCAGCAUUCCUUUGAUGAGAUAUAUAAAAAGAAUAAAGAAAAAGGGAUAUCAAAAAGGGGAGUUGAAAAGUCACGAUUUCGACAAAGUAAUUAAACAAAUUGCAAAAGAUCUUCAUCAUACGGGCUAUCUGGAUGUGAAACAGGAUUCUCUUUCUGUACUUACACGGUGGAUCGAUUAUAUAAUGGAACUAAAAAGUGAAAGUGCAUGAAUUGAGACAUUAGAGGAAAAUUAUUUCCGGAUGGAUGAAAUCUAUCAACAAAUGAAUAACCGGAUAGAGGCAAGUGUUUAGAAUUUAUCAGCUAUUGUUCUUUUUAUCUCAAGAAACACUAAUGCCUUUUAAAUAUUUUUAGUUACCCUUUUCUCUAAAAAAAAAUAAUAAAGAUGGACAUUUACGUCAAACUCCGUUAUAUAUUACUUGUCGUUAUUCAUGAUGUAUUUCUUGAAUUCAUUUUCACCAGAUACUGUGUGUCAAACAUUCUGCAAAAACACAAAGAAAUAACAAGUUCCAAUUUUGAUAACUUUACCGUUAUAACAUCACUUUAUGUUUGUCUUCAACUUUUACAGGCAACAUAUAUAAGCGAUUUUUGAACUGUAUACAGGGGAUUUUUACCCCAGUGUUAUUUUUACCCUUCAAUGCUUGAAAAUAAUUUCGUCCAGUUUCAAAAUCUCUCAACCACCGCCCUGCGGAAGAGAUACUGUUGUUUACUUUGAAUUUAAUGACAGCAUUGUUCCCCUUAGGCAUCAUGUAAUUUAAAGUUUUCCCACCCCUAUGUGAUGUCAUACGUUUUGCAGAAUUCUAUUAUUAAUUUAACUAAAAGCACAUUAUAAA